AUACGUAGGGGGCGAGCGUUGUCCGGAAUGAUUGGGCGUAAAGGGCGCGUAGGCGGCCCGGUAAGUCUGGAGUGAAAGUCCUGUUUUUAAGAUGGGAAUUGCUUUGGAUACUGUCGGGCUUGAGUGCAGGAGAGGUAAGUGGAAUUCCCAGUGUAGCGGUGAAAUGCGUAGAGAUUGGGAGGAACACCAGUGGCGAAGGCGACUUACUGGACUGUAACUGACGCUGAGGCGCGAAAGUGUGGGGAGCGAACAGGAUUAGAUACCCUGGUAGUCCACGCGGUAAACGAUGAAUGCUAGGUGUUGCGGGUAUCGACCCCUGCAGUGCCGGAGUAAACACAAUAAGCAUUCCGCCUGGGGAGUACGGCCGCAAGGUUGAAACUCAAAUGAAUUGACGGGG
rnacentral:rRNA from 1 species